rnacentral:rRNA from 1 species
AUACGGAGGGUGCGAGCGUUAAUCGGAAUUACUGGGCGUAAAGCGCGCGUAGGCGGUUUGGUCAGUCGGAUGUGAAAGCCCUAGGCUCAACCUGGGAAUGGCAUUCGAUACUGCCUGACUAGAGUAUGGUAGAGGGAAGUGGAAUUUCCGGUGUAGCGGUGAAAUGCGUAGAUAUCGGAAGGAACACCAGUGGCGAAGGCGACUUCCUGGGCCAAUACUGACGCUGAGGUGCGAAAGCGUGGGGAGCAAACAGGAUUAGAAACCCCAGUAGUCC